AUUGGCUAAAGGAUUAUAAAACAAGGGAGGUGUUGUUUUGAUUUUUCAUUAUGAGAAUCAAGUUAAUCAAGCUAUUAAUCAAGCUCAUUUUACUUCCAUUUUAUGGUCUCAGAAAACUGGAAUGGAUUGCUCAGAAGAAUACAUAAGAAUGGAGAUGGAAUGUGAACCAAAGAAAUCAUUUCGGAGAGGUUGUCCAUGUACCAGACAAACUGGGAUACUUGUGCUUCUAGGAACAGUCUGCAUGACUAUUUUCAUGGUCAUGGCUUUUGUCAUCUGUGGUGCCCUAGAAAAUAAGGUUGCAGAGAUGCAGACCUUAGUUUCAAGCCUGAGUUCAUAUUUGAACACAUCUGGAGCAAGUAACCCAAUGACUAGGGAACUGCAAGAAAAGGAAUUGUCUAAUAUUAAGACCUUGAUGACUGAUCUUGUCUCCUCACUGAGUUCACUCACAUCCAAACAAGAAGAAAUCCUACAAAAGUUAGAGCACCAGCAGAAUGUGUCACACACUGAAGUGAAGAGUUUGAUGGGCAGUUUGAGUUCUUCAGUAUUGGCUCUUAGGGAUAAACUGACAGAGCACAGUUCAAAUUCAUCUGUUUUUUCUCUACAGUCUUUUCAACACACACAACUUAUUUUGAUGGACAUUUCAAGAUCACUGAUGGGCCUGAGUGAUUUCAUGGGAGACACGAGAUCAUCUAUUCAGUUACUUUCUUAUAAACUAUCAUUUACCAACUUGCUUACAUCAGGCUGUACUGAACCCGAUUGGAUCCCGUUCAGAAACAGCUGUUACCUGUUCUCUUAUGAUGUUAUGAAUUGGACCAAAGCAAAAGAUUACUGCGAAGAGCAGGGUGCGGUACUCUUAAAAAUAGAAGAUGCCUCUGAGAAGGAGUGGGUAUGUGGGUACACAAACACUAACACAGACACACUCUCUCUCUCUCUC
ensembl:lncRNA